UUCCACUAGCCCUGAGUACGAGCACCUGCGUAGAUGGUCUCAUCAGCAAAUGAUGGAUGUAGUCGAAUCUAGAGUCAGUUCAUUCAGUUCAUUUGGCUCGGAUAGAGCUUCUACGAAAGUGCUUCUCCCAGCUGAUGCUUUUCUACUGAAGAAGUUGUUCUAAAAGCUAGAUCAAACAAGCGUUGAACAAUAGAUGGCCGAGCACUUACGGUGACGAUGUUGAAUGCGUAGUGAUCUGCUCCAACAGCUAGCACUGCAAUGAGAUGUCUCACCAGUAACAGGAUUGUGAACUGCAGACAUUUUGAUAACAAUCACAAACACGGGAUCUAAUCAGCACAUGAGAAAUAUGGGAUUGUUGUGUAAUGUUUUUAGAAAAACAGUUCUCUUUGGUGUUCUUUUGAUGUGUAACUAAGCUGCUUACCGCGACCGCAACCGAUCGACAACAAGAAGCACUUCUCUCAGCUGCAGAAGCACACUCGGCAUAAUAAGAGGUGGCUACACCGUCCGCGACACCGUCGGAUCCUGUGCCUUGAGGUUCAUAGUUGAGCCUGGGAAUCUCCAAGCUUCCUCUGUUGCAAAAAAUGUUAUUAAUUAGCUCAUGUUAUUUUCUGUCAUUUUCUUUUUGCAGCUUCAAACUAACUUUUUCUUUUCUUUUUUUUUUUUGAGAAAUAGGUAGCACGCUACCCGCUUCGUUUUAUUUCAUUUAGAAAUAAAUUUAGCUGGAAAUGUAAAUCAACUAGGAUUCGAACUUGGGUCUCCUAAGGAUAUAGUUUUGUUUAAGAAAUUUAGACAUGACAAGGGUGCAUAUGUAAAUGAGAAUUAUACAGGUUUUUAUA